rnacentral:rRNA from 1 species
UACGAAGGGGGCUAGCGUUGCUCGGAAUUACUGGGCGUAAAGGGGCGUAGGCGGGUCGUCAAGUUGGGGGUGAAAGCCCAGGGCUCAACCCUGGAACUGCCUUCAAAACUGGCGACCUAGAGUAUGGUAGAGGUGUGUGGAACUCCGAGUGUAGAGGUGAAAUUCGUAGAUAUUCGCAAGAACACCAGUGGCGAAGGCGGCUUACUGGUCCGGUUCUGACGCUGAGGCGCGAAAGCGUGGGAGCAAACAGG